GCCCACUGCCCGUGGGGGCCACGGAUCAAUUUCUGCACCGGGGCCCCAUGGAUCGUGUGUAUGUCACUGCCCAGGGCAACUGUUGGCUUGGGGGUAAAAACGAUUAUAUGGCCUUCUGUGUGCAGUGUGGAUGGCACUACCGAUGCCUACUUUUGGAAGCUGCUGGAGUUGCGAGGUGUGAAAAUAUAUACCCCUGCAUGCUCCAAGUGUGACCUGUGCAGCAUCAAAUAGCAUUCAUCGAGCUCAUCAUAACGAAGUGGGUCAUAUUACGUCCGAAAAAAAACACGAGAUGAGGGGAGGGAGGGCUACCAGCAUUUACAUAAAUUCAAAAUGCAGCGCUUGCACAGGCUCUCCUGCAGUACUGGGUCAAUACAUCCCAAAUCCCCUUCUGUCAUUUUCAUUUGCAGCGGUAAUGUGUGAGGCUGCAGCUCAUGGCCGCCGUCUGGGCUAGUGGUUCCCCAACUUUUCUGGGCCAAUG